rnacentral:rRNA from 1 species
ACGCUCGACACCUACGGGAGGCAGCAGUGGGGAAUAUUGCACAAUGGGGGAAACCCUGAUGCAGCGACGCCGCGUGAGUGAAGAAGUAUUUCGGUAUGUAAAGCUCUAUCAGCAGGGAAGAAGAUGACGGUACCUGACUAAGAAGCCCCGGCUAACUACGUGUCAGCAGCCGCGGUAAUCUGAGCGGGCUGGCAAGGC